rnacentral:rRNA from 1 species
UGAGCAAUCUGCCCUUCACAUCGGAAUAACCAUUGGAAACGAUGGCUAAUACCGAAUAUGACUUCGGAUCGCAUGAUCUGAAGUGGAAAGCUCCGGCGGUGAAGGAUGAGCUCGCGGCCUAUCAGCUUGUUGGUGAGGUAAUAGCUCACCAAGGCGAUGACGGGUAGCCGGCUGAGAGGGUGACCGGCCACACGUGGGACUGAGACACCGGCAGUA